UUGAACGCUGGCGGCAUGCCUAACACAUGCAAGUCGAACGGCAGCACAGCAGUAGCAAUACGUGUGGGUGGCGAGUGGCGGACGGGUGAGGAAUACGUCGGAAUCUGCCCAGUCGUGGGGGAUAACUAGCCGAAAGGUUAGCUAAUACCGCAUACGACCGAGAGGUGAAAGCGGGGACCGCAAGGCCUCGCGCGAUUGGAUGAGCCGACGUCGGAUUAGCUAGUUGGCGGGGUAAAGGCCACCAAGGCGACGAUCCGUAGCUGGUCUGAGAGGAUGAUCAGCCACACUGGAACUGAGACACGGUCCAGACUCCUACGGAGGCAGCAGUGGGGAAUAUUGGACAAUGGGCGCAAGCCUGAUCCAGCAAUGCCGCGUGUGUGAAGAAGGCCUUCGGGUUGUAAAGCACUUUUAUCAAGAACGAAAAGCGUUGGAUUAAUACUCUGACGUGCUGACGGUACCUGAGGAAUAAGCACCGGCUAACUUCGUG
rnacentral:rRNA from 1 species